CUACAGAGGGUGCGAGCGUUAAUCGGAUUUACUGGGCGUAAAGCGUGGGUAGGCGGCUUCUUAAGUCGGAUGUGAAAUCCCUGAGCUUAACUUAGGAAUUGCAUUCGAUACUGGGAAGCUAGAGUAUGGGAGAGGAUGGUAGAAUUCCAGGUGUAGCGGUGAAAUGCGUAGAGAUCUGGAGGAAUACCGAUGGCGAAGGUAGCCAUCUGGCCUAAUACUGACGCUGAGGUACGAAAGCAUGGGGAGCAAACAGGAUUAGAUACCCUAGUAGUCC
rnacentral:rRNA from 1 species